rnacentral:rRNA from 1 species
GAUUCUGGCUCAGGAUGAACGCUGGCGGCGCGCUUAACACAUGCAAGUCGAACGGUUAAAGCACCUCCGGGUGUGCAUAAAGUGGCGAACGGCUGAGUAACACGUGGGCAACCUGCCCCCCGCACCGGGAUAGCCUCGGGAAACCGUGGGUAAUACCGGGAUACUCCGGCCACCCCCGCAUGGGGGAGCGGGAAAGCACAUACGGCGGGGGAUGGGCCCGCGGCCUGUUAGCUCGUUGGCGGGGUAACGGCCCACCAAGGCGAUUAUGGGUAGCCGGGUUGAGAGACCGACCGGCCAGAUUGGAACUGAGACACGGCCCAGACUCCUACGGGAGGCAGCAGUGGGGAAUCUUGCACAAUGGGCGAAAGCCUGAUGCCAGCGACGCCGCGUGCGGGACGAAGGCCCUCGGGUUGUAAACCGCUUUCAGCAGGGACGAGGCGAGAGUGACGGUACCUGCAGAAGAAGCCCCGGCUAACUACGUGCCAGCCGCCGC